rnacentral:rRNA from 1 species
UACGUAGGUGGCAAGCGUUGUCCGGAUUUACUGGGCGUAAAGCGCGCGCAGGCGGGCUGGUCAGUCCGGGGUGAAACCUCACGGCUCAACCGUGAGCGGUCCCCGGAUACUGCCAGUCUUGAGGUGUCUAGAGGAGAGCGGAAUUCCCGGUGUAGUGGUGGAAUGCGUAGAUAUCGGGAAGAACACCAGUGGCGAAAGCGGCUCUCUGGGGACCACCUGACGCUGAGGCGCGAAAGCGUGGGGAGCGAACCGG